GUGUGUGUGGGGCGGUGGCUGUGGCGGGCCUUCAAAACCGGCGCGCGCAAU
rnacentral:tRNA from 1 species